GUCUACGGCCACACCACCCUGAAUGUGCCUGAUGUUGUCUGAUCUCGGAAGCUAGGCAGAGUCGGGCCUGGUUAGUACUUGGAUGGAAGAAACACUACUUUGAGAAGAGUAAGUGACUGCUAAUU
ensembl:rRNA 5S_rRNA 5S ribosomal RNA